rnacentral:rRNA from 1 species
UACGUAGGGCGCAAGCGUUGUCCGGAAUUAUUGGGCGUAAAGAGCUCGUAGGCGGUUUGUCGCGUCUGCUGUGAAAGCCCGGGGCUCAACCCCGGGUCUGCAGUGGGUACGGGCAGACUAGAGUGCAGUAGGGGAGACUGGAAUUCCUGGUGUAGCGGUGAAAUGCGCAGAUAUCAGGAGGAACACCGGUGGCGAAGGCGGGUCUCUGGGCCGAUACUGACGCUGAGGAGCGAAAGCGUGGGGAGCGAACAGG